UGCAAGUCGAACGAUGAAGCCCUUCGGGGUGGAUUAGUGGCGAACGGGUGAGUAACACGUGGGCAAUCUGCCCUGCACUCUGGGACAAGCCCUGGAAACGGGGUCUAAUACCGGAUACGAGCUUCCCGGGCAUCUGGGAGGUUGGAAAGCUCCGGCGGUGCAGGAUGAGCCCGCGGCCUAUCAGCUUGUUGGUGAGGUAACGGCUCACCAAGGCGACGACGGGUAGCCGGCCUGAGAGGGCGACCGGCCACACUGGGACUGAGACACGGCCCAGACUCCUACGGGAGGCAGCAGUGGGGAAUAUUGCACAAUGGGCGCAAGCCUGAUGCAGCGACGCCGCGUGAGGGAUGACGGCCUUCGGGUUGUAAACCUCUUUCAGCAGGGAAGAAGCGCAAGUGACGGUACCUGCAGAAGAAGCGCCGGCUAACUACGUGCCAGCAGCCCGGGGGUAAUUCA
rnacentral:rRNA from 1 species